rnacentral:rRNA from 1 species
AUCGAACGCUGGCGGCAGGCCUAACACAUGCAAGUCGAACGAGUGGCGGACGGGUGAGUAAUGUCUGGGAAACUGCCUGCUGGAGGGGGAUAACUACUGGAAACGGUAGCUAAUACCGCAUACCAUCAGAUGUGCCCAGAUGGGCGUAGCUUGUUGGUGGGGUAACGGCUCACAAAGGCGCCGCUCCCUAGCUGGUCUGAGAGGAUGACCAGUCACACUGGAACUGAGACACGGUCCAGACUCCUACGGGAGGCAGCAGGGGGGAAUAUUGCGCAAUGGGCGCAUGCCUGAUGCGGCCAUGCCGCGUGUAUGAAGAAGGGAUUCGGGUUGUAAAGUGCUGUCAGCGGGGAGGCGUUAGCCGCAUAAGAAGCACCGGCUAACUCCGUGCCAGCAGCCGCGGUAAUUC